rnacentral:lncRNA from 1 species
GGGAAGAAAAUCAGACUUUAAGUGAAAACUAAAAUUUAAACAUUUGAGUGCCAAACUCCAUUUAACAUUUAUACAUCAGCUCUAAGGCUACAAACACCAUUACAUUCACUUCUAUUCCAAAGAUUUGAAGAUGUACCUGGAUACAGCCAAAGAAACAGAAAUGAGUGAGUAACUUUAGCAAGCAAACGGUGGAAAAUAACAGCAACUCAAAGCUGUAUACAACUUAAAGCUUAACCCCAGACUUGAAUCUGAAAAAUCAGAAAUCCCAUAGAGAAACUUUUCUCGAAUUUUGCUCAAAGAAUCUGAAUAAAACUAGCCACAAAUGAAACAAUAGCUGAAAGCUUUUGAAAUGCUAUUUUUGGUUCUAAAAAUCUAAUUGUGUUUUCAGAGAUUUUUUUUUUUUUUUUUUUUUUUUUU